rnacentral:rRNA from 1 species
UGGGGAAUAUUGCACAAUGGGCGCAAGCCUGAUGCAGCCAUGCCGCGUGUAUGAAGAAGGCCUUCGGGUUGUAAAGUACUUUCAGCGGGGAGGAAGGUGUUGUGGUUAAUAACCACAGCAAUUGACGUUACCCGCAGAAGAAGCACCGGCUAACUCCGUGCCAGCAGCCGCGGUAAUACGGAGGGUGCAAGCGUUAAUCGGAAUUACUGGGCGUAAAGCGCACGCAGGCGGUCUGUCAAGUCGGAUGUGAAAUCCCCGGGCUCAACCUGGGAACUGCAUCCGAAACUGGCAGGCUUGAGUCUUGUAGAGGGGGGUAGAAUUCCAGGUGUAGCGGUGAAAU